rfam:Botryotinia fuckeliana T4 unplaced genomic scaffold BcT4_SuperContig_G_V3_B__V4, whole genome shotgun sequence.
GGUGGUGUGGUGUAAUGGUAGCACGUGACGUUGUGGCUCAUUCUUAACAGGAUAUUUCAUGAUUUCCGUUUCAAUCUGGGUUCGAUUCCCAGCACCGCCA